GGUGGGGGGGGGGGCGAAAGAAAGACUGUGCCGCUGGUCAAUGUGUAGGCUACCCGGUCACGUGGCUUACUUACAAUUGACCAACCAGAGACAGGUCUACAUGAUAGGCUACAGCCUAUUGCAUCAUUAAGAAAAAUAGCGCCAGAACCAAACACCAUGACCAUCCCAUUCCAGUCAUAGUACUCAUAGAUCUACUUCAAGAUUGUGUUGAUUUGUGAUUAACUCGACUCUAUUCUAACAACUUUGGAAUGUGUGCGUCAAGCAAAGACUCUCGGAACCAAAGAGUGAAAGAAUGAUGGCAUCACUAUGAUCACUUCUUGCUGGAUCUGUCCAAGAGUCAAUGAGUACAGGUGGACCAUGUUGGAAAAUAACUUUCAGUCAAGACUCAAGUUGAGACAAGAGCUCCAUUGAUCAUGAUGUUAUUGAUCAAACUGAACAUGUUCUAGAGAUACUGGAGAAAAGAUUUGAGUGCAGUACAGACUCAUUUUCAAUUGAAAGCAAUUAAAAGAAGCAGAGAUAAAUACAAUCAGGAUUAGAUCUAUCCAGUGAAAACAGCAUUAAGAGAACAAUAGUAUGGAUUAUAACUUGGCUGGACUGGACAUGGCACAAACAGAAAAUAAAUGUAUUGAAUUUUCAAUCCAAAUUAUGGAUAUUAGAUUAUUCAAGUGAGUUACCCAAGUCUGUCAAAUAACUUAGAGAAAGUACUUGAACUUGGCACAUGUGAUGGCACAGAAAUCGUAAAAAAAGAAAGAUGAUGGCUUCAACUCUGAAGGAACAUCCCAAUCAUGUAUAACAUUUUACAAACAAACCUAAUCAAAGUUUAUAAAUGUUUAAAAAAAGUAAGAUGCACAAGCAAAUUUAUUUACAUACUACAGAUAUUAGAACUAAUGACUAAUGGAAAAAAAACAACUACCUAUCUAGACUUAACAACAAAGAAAUAAGUAAAUAUAAUAUUUCAAACAUGUGCUGGAUCUUGUUAACCAUUAGCCAAAGAAACUGAUGGCCUUAACAUCAUCUGCCCUAUAGAUGCUAAGUUUGAAAAGGGGAACUUUACUUUUAUUACAACAUAAGGUUAUAAGUUGACAGUUACAGAUGAUGUACCAUAUGAGCAUCAUUGUUGUUUACUGGCUUUUGAACAGUAGCUUGAAACAUUUGCUCUUUCUUACAUAGAAUAUUCACUGUUAAAAAAUUAUGAAUAUGAUAGUGCAGCUAGUUACUCUGCUCAAAAUUGAAAAAAAUAUUUUGUUGAAAUUAUAAACAUGAGCUACCGGUAUAUAUAAAUGUAUAGUUUUCAUUGUUGAGCACACACUUUUUCUUUGGUACUGGGUAACGUACAUGACCUAUAUUUUUUUGAAAUAUUAUCAUCUAAAAUUAGGCGAGGUCUUGAGAAUAUUUACCUCGAACAGACUCAGCUUUGGGUUUUUGUGCAUGUAGACCCUAUUGAUUAAAAAGCACCAUUCUCUAAUUAUAUUUUACUUGUUUAAAUUUAUAUAUUUAUGGUUAUUAAUUAUUCUUUGUAUUUAUUUUUUUAAUUUUUUUUUGUAAAGUAAGCACUGGUAUUUUUCUAAAAGUAUGUUUCACAUUUAUUUCAUUUUAAACAAAUUAAGUCAUUUACUUAAUGUUCAAUUAUGUUCUAAAUGUAUGUUUUUAAAAUUUCAGUGUUUAUAUUGCUAACAUUUCACAAACUUGUUACAGGUAGCUUAUUUUUGUUUUGGUCAUUUUUUCUUUAGAACUACCGGUACAACAUAAUCUAAAAAAAAAUUUGUUUCAUGAUUGUCAAAACAGUUUGCUUUUCAAUUUACAUACAGCAGGCUCAUACUUUGUUUAGAUAAUUCUGAAUUACAUUCUAUAUAUAAUUUAUAGGUUUCUGUAUAGGCUAUUCAAGCUUUUGUACAUGUUAAAAUUUCAUAAAUUUGGUAGCCAUUAUAUUUUUUAAAAAUUUUAUGGUAUAAUACAGUGAUGCCCAGCCCAACUCGACCUGCGGGCCAUUUUUAUUUCCGACAGUCGUGUCGCGGGCCACAUGAACAAAAAGGCCUACAAAAACGAUAUUGACCUUAAUUAAUGGGAUAUUUGAAAUGUAUCCUUUUUCCCCGCGUCUGAAGAUGGCUUCAUUUCUCUACUUAAAAUAUCAGCAACAUUGUAGCUAGCUUUACAUCCGAGUCGUUUUCCUGUCUCUUUUUGGUAAAUAUUCCCAUCAAUCCUCCAAUUUCUAGGCGUAGUUUAACAAUCUUUUAUUCGCGGCUCAAACCAAGAAUGCCGUCAUAUUUGUUUCAUAAUGUCGUUUAUAUGUUUUUGUUGUUUAUUAAAUAACCACACUUUCUUUAUAAAACAAAAUAUGUUGGCUUAUUAUCAUGUUCCACAAAAAAGUAAAGAAUCGUUCACUUUUCCUGGUAGAAAAUGUACAUUCUACACUCAGAAACCUAAUUCAUAAACGCACAAAUGUUAAAUGUCAUGGAAAACAUCAGGAGAAAAAUUGAGGGCCCUAAGCCCCUAACGUAAGUAAAGAUACAUUUUUACAAUUCAAUUUUUAUUUUGGAAAAUGGGGGAUUUUCGACGGGCCGGAUGGACUCACGUUGCGGGCCGGAUCUGGCCCGCGGGCCGUACUUUGGGCAUCACUGGUAUAAUAAAUACUUAUUGUAUUUUUAAAAAUAUAAGCAUCCAUAUUUUAAAAACUUAUUUCUAAUUUGCCAUUUUAAGCAAUUUGUUAUUACAAUUAAUAUUUAAAUGAAUAUGCUUUUACUUAUUUCAGUGUACAUAUUGCUUACAUUCCACCAACUCAAUACUUUUUUUGUUACUUUUAUUUUUUAAUAUUUUUUUUACAUAAUAACAAAAGCUAAGUUGUUUUUUGUUGUUGUUGUUUUUAUGAUUGUCAAAACUGUUUGCUUUAAACAUAAUUUUUAUACAGCACUUAUACUUUCUGUAGAUGAUCCUGAAUUAUGUUCUUUAUAAAUUUGUUAUAGAUUUUCAUGUUAUCAUUCACAACUUUUUUGUUGACUCAAUGCAUUUUCCAUAGUAUACUAAAAUAUUAUAGGAUCAAUUUUCACAGUUAAAAUCUUUGCUACAGGUAUUGCUUUUACUUUAAAAAAAAGUUUUUUAGUGUAUUCCGGUAUUUUUAAUUAUUUUUAAUAGUUGCUAACAUUAACAUUUUAUAAUGCAAUAAACUAUUAAUUUCAACUAGUAAAUUGUUUAUGUAAUUAUUUAUGUCAUUUUAUGCCAUUUCAGCUAGAGCUCAGUGUCAUUUCUUACUGGCCUCAUCUGGGCCCCUAACUGAACCCAGACUCAGCCCUAAGG